rnacentral:rRNA from 1 species
UACGUAGGGUGCGAGCGUUGUCCGGAAUUAUUGGGCGUAAAGAGCUUGUAGGCGGUUUGUCGCGUCUGCUGUGAAAAUCCGGGCUCAACCCGGACUUGCAUUCGAUACGGGCAGACUAGAGUUCGGUAGGGGAGACUGGAAUUCCUGGUGUAGCGGUGAAAUGCGCAGAUAUCAGGAGGACACCGGUGGCGAAGGCGGGUCUCUGGGCCGAUACUGACGCUGAGGAGCGAAAGCGUGGGGAGCGAACAGG